AUGGAGUCGUUCUUAACCAAGGUUCCUCACAAAGGUGAAUGAUUUCCUGCUGCAAAGACUGUGAGGCAUCAUUUUUCCAAUUAGAAGUGUUGCUUUGUCAUUGGACUACAUAUAUCUGGAUACCAUAAUGAUAAUGGACUUGCUUCCCUUUUAAUUUCAUGAUUGAGCAUUUAUAUCCUGAGUUAGACCCAGUCUGACAAAGGCACUGACAUGGAGGAGCUCAUGGUCUGAUGGGGAUAACAGCUCAGGGAAGAAACGGUAUGCAUGACAUGAUGCAUUGAAUGGGGCAGCCUACAUCUACUUUGCCUCCUGAGAAUAUCCUGAGCAUCAGGCCAGUGUUGGCUUCGCCAGGAAUCCUAACUCAGGUCUUGAAAGCAAGAUUGUUGCUGUUAAAAAGGUAAAAACUACCCCCGUACCAGUUACUCUGGGUGAAGAAAGGCGUCUAUGUUUGGCAAGGACUAAGGAAUAUUUGACUUCAUGAAUCAAUAACUAUUCUCAAAGCUGCUAUUGACCUCUGAUCUGCAAAUCUGUCAGCAAAGAGAGAUUAUGAUUCUUGCUCUGUCACCCACACUGGAGUGCAGUGGCACGAUUAUAGAUCACUGUAAUUGCAAACUCCUGGGCUUAAGUGAUCCUCCCACCUCAGCCUCCC
rnacentral:lncRNA from 1 species